UACGUAGGGGGCAAGCGUUGUCCGGAUUUAUUGGGCGUAAAGAGCGUGUAGGCGGCCAGGUAGGUCUGCUGUGAAAACUCGAGGCUUAACCUCGAGAUGUCGGCGGAAACCAUCUGGCUAGAGUCCGGAAGAGGAGAAUGGAAUUCCCGGUGUAGCGGUGAAAUACGCAGAUAUCGGGAAGAACACCCGUGGCGAAGGCGGCUCUCUGGGCCUUUCCUGACGCUGAGACGCGAAAGCGUGGGGAGCGAACAGG
rnacentral:rRNA from 1 species